AAAGAAUAGCAUUCACUUCGGCAGAUUUGGCAUUAACGUCCAACCCUGCUGAUUCAUUCUGACUGGCCUGUAAAUCAUGAUCUAGUUGUGAUGCUUGUAAUUCCCGAAUUUUUGAAGUUAAUUUUUGAAUCGUACUAGCAUUUUCCUGUUCCAUGUCUUUAUAUAGCUUUUGUUGCUCAAGCCAAGACUUUUCGCAUUCUUCUUUUGUGAUUGCGGCACGCUUUUCCGCUUCAGUCUCUACAAGGUCCUUGUAUUUGUCAAGCUCUUUUCGUAAAUUUUCCACUUCACGUUCCAGCUUUUCCUUACCCUGUAGCGAGCCUUCCAUUUCUUCCUUUUCCUUUUUUAAAUCUUCAAUCUGUUUUUGAGUUUUAAGGUUGUUCGCAGCCUCAAUCAGCAAAGGGUAGGGAUCAGGAACCUCGCCUAGUGUUUCAUACACUCGAAAGAAUGUUGCUUCAGCGGACUUUGCUCGUUUGGUCAAAGAAUCGAUUCCAGACUGAUAAAGCUUUAAAAGGCCCUUCAUUUCGCCUAGCUUGACUUCAUCAGGCUGCUUGCGAAAUUCUGUAUAUUAACAAUAUUAGCAAGGGUUAAUGUAUACUAGGUAUGCUGCAAUAAUAGACACCAUACCCUUCGUUUUUGACGAAAGCUCUUUCCUUUCAUCCAAAGAUGUCUUUUGCAUCUUCUCAAUUUCUGCUGCAGCUUCAUCUGCUUCCCGUUGUAAUUCCUCAAACCGCGAAUCUAUUAUCUCACGUUAGUAACUUUGCUAUUUGCUUAAAAAUUCAAAACACCACGAACUUUUCCAUGACUCCGUUAGCUUUUGGAGUAAAGCU